UAACGCGGACCUAACGGAACCGCGGAGGCGGGGCCAUGGGGGCGCGGACCUGGCUCCCACUUGCGGCCCCUGCCCUGCCUGCCCUGUACUCUAGGUUGUGCGCAGACCCUCGCCGCCCUCGUCACGCCCCAGGCUGACCCCGGGAGAGCAGCGGCUGUCUGAGGAAAGGGACCGUCUGACAGACCCCACCGUCGCGGGGGUGCUGGGUCCCCGCAACGUCUUUGUGCCCACCGCCCACGGUGCACAUUUACAGGGAGAGGCAGGUGCCGCCAGAAGCCACCGGCAGGAAUCAGGAAACACUCCCCCGGUUCCCGUCUCCCUGUGAUAAGUCACAGCCCUCGUAAAGGAGCCGGACCCGGGCCUCAGGCUCGCCCCUUCACGUCUGUUUGCAGGCCCCCAGGAACCAGACGACCUUCCGUCUUCUCUGGUGCUGGCUGCUCAGUGGCCCGGCGCACGGCCUCCUCUGACGGUGACAAUUACAGGUCUGAGUCACUGCGGGCGGAACACGAUGUCUAUAGGGCUCCCGCUGGCUGGGGCUGUCCACCCUCACCCCUGAGGGAAGCUGGUGCGGGGACCUCGUGCUCACACCCGAGCCUUCGGGCAAACCUGGCCGUCAGGAGCCUACCAGCCAGACCGGCCACACCAGGGUCUGACCUGAGCCAAAGCGGUGCUCGGCCAUGACUCUGGAGUUGGGGGUCACAUGUCUCCACCAGGAGUACGGCCGGACCUUCAUUUCGGCACACCGGCCAAGAGGGCCGUCUGCUCUUUUCUGCCAAUAAACAUUACCCGUGGAAGUCACUUAGCUCUGACUCCCAGGCGUCCGGGAGCCAAAUUCUUGCUAUUACACAACCUACUGAUAGGAGAUAACAAAGCGGUACGUGCUGGAGUUUACAGAUAGCAGGAAAACAGAGAUUACUCUUGGGGCGGUUACUACCUGCAGAAAGCAACUACCCACAUAUAUAACGCUUUUGUUCAUGACGCGUGCUUUAUAAACAUUAUUUUACUGGAGUACGUGCUCAAAGAAGAUUAAAGUAAAUAAACAAA